rnacentral:rRNA from 1 species
UAGGGAAUCUUCCGCAAUGGACGCAAGUCUGACGGAGCAACGCCGCGUGAGUGAAGAAGGAUUUCGGUUCGUAAAACUCUGUUGUUAGAGAAGAACAGCGCAUAGAGUAACUGUUAUGCGUGUGACGGUAUCUAACCAGAAAGCCACGGCUAACUACGUGCCAGCAGCCGCGGUAAUACGUAGGUGACAAGCAUUGUCCGGAUUUAUUGGGCGUAAAGCGAGCGCAGGCGGUCAAUUAAGUCUGAUGUGAAAGCCCCCGGCUCAACCGGGGAGGGUCAUUGGAAACUGGUUGACUUGAGUGCAGAAGAGGAGAGUGGAAUUCCAUGUGUAGCGGUGAAAUGCGUAGAUAUAUGGAGGAACACCAGUGGCGAAAGCGGCUCUCUGGUCUGUAACUGACGCUGAGGCUCGAAAGCGUGGGGAGCGAACAGG